rnacentral:misc_RNA from 1 species
GUGAAUCAUCGAAUCUUUGAACGCAAAUUGCACUCUCCGGUUUUCCGGGAGAGUAUGCCUGUUUGAGGGUCAGCCUAAAAAAAAUCGACAUUGUUGCUGUUAUUUAAUGGUGACUUUCGUCGGAGAUUGGGUUAUCUUAAACCUUUUUUUUUUUUUUUGGUUUAAGCGACUUAAAAUUUUUCUUCACGUUUCCAUGAACGUUUUUAAGAUUUUUAUUUCUUAUACGUUUAAGUUUUAUCAUUCUUUUAUUAGACUGUACCUUCGCUUCGGAUCGCGU